GAUGUAGAUCCAAGCUGUGUAGGUGAUAUGCUUGUGUAAGUCAGCCCUAAAUCUGGUCCCUCCUGGUGGCUGCUUCUUCUUCUGUGGCUUCAGCCAGAUGUAUCUGCAGGCAGUCAGCACCAGGAGAGCAUCAGCCAAGUGCAAUAAGUUGGAAAAUGCAUACCAGCCAAAAGCCUUUGCCAUAAGGAGAAAUUCAGUACUUCACCACCCAGCCCUCCUGAAGCUGAUACUUGGAAGGCCUCUGCUGGUGAUGAUUCUGAUUGCUCCUGAAGGACCUACUGCAGAUUGACAGGAAGCUGCCAAAACACAUUGUGCCACAUCAGGAGGAGCAGAGGACAGCCUGAGACUCUCAUUCCUUCUUACCUCUGGGGGUGAGGAGGUGACAAAACUAAAGGGACACACCACAAGUCUGGGGAAAUACAGGAAGAAUACAGGAAGCCUCUGGCUUCAGUGUUUGAGAUGCUGACUCCCCCUGGAUCUGGUGGCUUUGGUUGCCUUAUACUCUCCUCCUCUCGUCUUGUACUUGCAUGCUGUUAGUGAAAGACCUAAUAUGGGGCUCUCCGUGCUGGUUUGUGUGAGAGCACUGAAGCUGUGCAAUGGCACAAACUUUGCAUCCUCUUAUCUCAAGCAGUAAAGUGAAGGUGUUGGUACUGCAGCUUGGUGGCUCUGUCAAAAGGGAGAGCAGUGAGACAGAGCCAUUUCCUAUGUGUCCCCUGCAGACACAGGGAUACUAGGAGAGUUCUGUGCUGCAGAACUGUGUCCACCAGAGCCAAGCCAGGGGCUCCUCCAGCAGCAAGGUGGAGGAAAGAGCAAUAACUGCAGAGCUUGUUCAGGAGAAUGUGGAAACUCCAAGCAGAGGGGUUUAAUGUUAAUUUAUAUUCCCUGCAGUUCUCCCUGAGGUGAGAGCUGGGGCCCUGGGCUCCAUGGGGAGGUGGCUGGGCACAGUCUGGUGCUGGCCCUAUUCCUGUGUGUGCAGCUGCUCUGGGAAAUGUGUCCUUUCCUUUCAGUUCUCACCAGCUCUCAGCAGUUUCUGUGCGUGCCCGCCAGAGAGCAACCCUGGCACAGGGCUGGUGUCUCCAGAGACAGAGAUAGGAAUAGUUGGGUUGGGGGCGAGGCCAAACCCAGCUUCCUUCACCCUCUCCAGCCACCUUGCCCAAAUUGGAGCUGGAGGGAGGGUGUGACCCUGCUGUGUGCCCCAUGUCCUGGGCAAGAGGAGCAUCCUACUGGGCACGAGGUCGUGACAUCAAGAGAGAGGAGUCUGGCUGUCCAAAAGCUGUUGAAGGGAAGGACCAUGCUGGGACAGCAGGGAGUGUCUCUCCCAUGCAUAAAGAGCAAGUUCAGACGGUCAAAACCUCCAAAAUUCAGAUGGGUAACAGCUCAGUGCUUUAUGGCAGUCUCACAAGUAACUGUGCAGAUGAACUUUGUUUUUUAUAUUUUUGUUAUUUUUUGACAGUUGUCUCAAUGAAUGUCUUUGGUACUUGAAUAUGGAGUUUGGUGUUGUGGUGUGUUCUGGUAUAUGAGGUGCAAUCUAGUACUUGCUGUUCAGAGAAGGAAGCAAGCUGUACUUGUCAUGCAGGCUUUAUAAGCAACAGUGCUCAGUGCUGGCCUGAGGUCCUGGGUGGGCUGAAAGGUUUAGAGAUGGGGGCUCAGCCACGCUGCAUGAAUUAUCUCACUGCAGCUCCCCCUCAGUGGCGGGGAGAUGGGCAGGGUUUGUUCUCCCCAUGGAUGUGCAGAGCAGUGGUAGUCACCUCGCUCUCUGCUCCAUGCUGGAUCUGUGUUCCCAUGGGCAGCAGCAGGUGGGAUGGCUGUGACCCUGGUGAACUGCAGCCCCAGGGCUCAUGCAAAAGGCUUUGAGGGAAGAAACAACACUGCUAUUUUUAUCCUUGCACCAGCCCGGGGAUUUGGAUUGGCAGGGUUAGUUAUGAAGCCAAUAUUAUGAGUUUAACUAUGAGUGAAAUAACACAACUUCUGUGGGAAGCAGAGUAAAAGAGGCAAUUAUGCAGUAGCUUAAUAACAGCACUCUGGCUGGGUAGCUGAAAAUACACAGUUGAUAGUAAUUAGAUUUUUUUUUUCUUCCUGUUAAAUAGCUACAAAAAUUACAAUAUAUAUUCAUCUGAUUCACUCUUACGCGCUGUUUUCAUCAUCAGGUCCAUGCCCAUUUGGCCUUCAGACUAUUUUUGUUUUGUAAUUUUCUACUGUCUGGCAUUUUAGAGGCACAGAACUUAAUGUUCUUAAUGUUGGACAUGCAAAGCAAGAUGACAGAGGCGGGGGGGAGCAGGCAGGAACCUCAUCAGAAAUGCAGGGCAUGUCUGGAUGGACAGCAAGGACUUUCCAAGUGGGCUCCCCCCAACUCACUGUCCUCUUUCCAAGCACUCACCUCUUCUUUUUCAUGUAUAGACAGCAAUAAGUUUUCCCUUAUGCCACACAACCUCGCAUUACCUUAGCAACUGUGUGCUUUCCAGCUUGCAGGGUAGAACUUGAUGAGCCAGCAAGUGUGUGGCACUUGGGCUGCUUCUGAUCAUAGCUUGAAAGCCCUGCGCAGCAUGAAGGAAAGAGAUCUCAGGUUUGCUCUUGUUGCUGAAGGCUUACAAUGGGAUAUUUGCUUGGAGGCUGAAAGUAUUCUUCCUCUUGCUCUCUGUUUUAUUAUGUAAAAGAGCCAAGCGUGAUUAACAAUACCAUGGUCUUUUUGUUGUGAUGUUACACAGGACUGUGAGGUUGUGUUUUGUGGCUCUGAUGCCCAGUGGUGUCUCUGACACCUGCAAUAAA